rnacentral:rRNA from 1 species
GAUGAACGCUGGCGGCGUGCUUAACACAUGCAAGUCGAACGGGAAUUAUUUUAUUGAAACUUCGGUCGAUUUAAUUUAAUUCUAGUGGCGGACGGGUGAGUAACGCGUGGGUAACCUGCCUUAUACAGGGGGAUAACAGUCAGAAAUGGCUGCUAAUACCGCAUAAGCGCACAGAGCUGCAUGGCUCAGUGUGAAAAACUCCGGUGGUAUAAGAUGGACCCGCGUUGGAUUAGCUGGUUGGUGGGGUAACGGCCCACCAAGGCGAUGAUCCAUAGCCGGCCUGAGAGGGUGAACGGCCACAUUGGGACUGAGACACGGCCCAGACUCCUACGGGAGGCAGCAGUGGGGAAUAUUGCACAAUGGGGGAAACCCUGAUGCAGCGACGCCGCGUGAAGGAAGAAGUAUCUCGGUAUGUAAACUUCUAUCAGCAGGGAAGAUAGUGACGGUACCUGACUAAGAAGCCCCGGCUAACUACGUG